CCGCACCCUCUCUCUGUCUGUCCGUCUGUGCGCACACGCACACACACACACACACACACACACACGCACACAGACACAGACACACAGAGUGUGCUGGACGAGUGUACAUUGGUGCGCUGUGCCUCGGAGGAGCAGACAGAUGUGAGAGCUUGGAUUAUGUCAGCUCUGUUGUUGCUUCGCUCGUUGUUUGUUAGGUUUAUGUGGAGUAAGCUGAUGCGCUCUGCCGUACAGUUCCUCUGUAAGUGGCUGGCCAGAGCCAGCUCCCAGCUCACUGCUGUCCUGCACCAAGCCUGGGGACACCUCACCUCCCCUGGGACCCAGGCUGCCAUACUCUCCUGUGUGCUCUACAUCCUGAGGAUGCAGAAGAGAGACACUGACCGCUGACCGUCAGUUUCAGGCUCCCAGCUGCCAGCCCCAAACCCAUCAAUUCAAUGAUCUCUCUGUCGGGUUCCUCCACCGCGGGCAUUGUGAGGGGAGAGCGAAUGAAGCUGCCCAUGCUCCUGUCUCCACACUCGGCUCACCCUCCUCUUGUUUCCCUCUGCUUGUACCUGAUCCUGCACUCACCCAGGGAGGAAGCCCCACACAGACAGCCUGCGGGUUAUGACAGCUGUGUUAACUCGAUGCAGGAGGAGCUGGAUGAGAGACGGGGUGAGCUGGACCUGACUGACUCCUCAUGCUGUGUUCAAAAGAUCAGUACCCCAGGAGCGUGGCUGGGGAACGACUGGGAGAGAGCAGGCUCAGUCACCGACAGGAGCACCAGCAGCAACAACUGCAGGAUCCAGGGGGACCAGGCAUCAGUAACUCCCGCGGCAAGCACCAGCAUCACUGCCUGAUGUAUCGCACAAACGGCCCUGAGGUUAUCGGUGAGCUCCAACAUUGUGCAUCAGAAAUGUGUUACCCUCAGAGCAGUGCAGCAAGCCCUCAGCAACGAGAGCUGAAGGCCUUCUGAUUGCUUUUGGCUGAAGACCUGAUAGUAAACCAGUUAGAGUCGAGUCCAGGGUUGUUCGAAGCUGACUUGUGUACUCUGUAUUUUGACAGGCUCAGGUGCAGAAAAUGCCCAGGAUAUCAGAAUGGGAAUGAGUGUGGAGAAACUGCCGGCUUCUGAGAAAGGGAGGGCUUGUGACUGGUGUAUCUCUGCUCUGCAAUGCUCGGCACAUUCUGAUUUAUCCUCAUUCCCUCUCCUGCGCCUUGGUCUGUUCUGUAUAUGAGACACGCAGCAAACGCAACCCAGCCAUGUCCCACGCAUCAAGGAGCCCGAGCAAAACUGGAAUCAGUGUGUAUCGGGGCAAACGCUCCUGUGGGUGGAAUCAUUACCUGACCCAUAGGAAGAUGGUCAUGGUUGUGAGAGGUCCAUAAGACCACAAGGCAUAGGAGUGGAAGUCAGGCCAUUCGACCCAUCAAGUCCACUCCGCCAUUUAAAUCAUGGCUGAUGGGCAUUUCAACUCCACUUCCCUGCACUCUCCCCGUAGCCCUUGAUUCCUUCUGAGAUCAAGAAUUUGUCGAUCUCUGCCUUGAAGGCAUCCAACGUCCCGGCCUCCACUCCGUGGCAAUGAAUUCCAUAGGCCCACCACUCUCUGGUUGAAGAAAUGCCGUCUCAUUUCAGUUUUAAAUUGACCCCCUCUAAUUCUAAGGCUGUGCCCAUGGGUCCUAGUCUCCCCGCCUAAUGGAAACAACUUCCUAGCGUCCACCCCUUCCAAGCCAUACAUUAUCUUGUAAGUUUCUAUUAGAUCUCCCCUCAACCUUCUAAACUCUAAUGAGUACAAUCCCAGGACCCUUAGCCGUUCAUCACACAUUAAACGUACCAUUCCAGGGAUCAUCCGUGUGAAUCUCCGCUGGACAUGCUCCAGGGCUAGUAUGUUCUUCCUGAGGUGUGGGGCCCAAAAUUGGACACAGUAUUCUAAAUGGGGCCUAACUAGAGCUUUAUCAAGUCUCAGAAGCACAUCACAGGUCAAUUAUCCCAGCUCCAGGGCAUCUCUCUAGAAGUCCCUCAGGGCAGUGUCCUGGGCCCAACCACCUUCAGCUGCUUCAUCAAUGACCUUCCCUCCAUCAUAAGGUCAGAAGUGGGGAUGUUCACUGAUGAUUGCACAAUGUUCAGCACCGUUCGUGACUCCUCAGAUGCUGAAGCAGUCCGUGUUCACAUGCAACAAGAUCUGGAUAAUAUCCAGGUUUGGACUGACAAGUGGCAAGUGACAUUGCGCCACACAAAUGCCAGGCUAUGCCCAUCACCAAUAAGAGACAAUCUGACCACCGUCCCAUAACAUUCAGUGGUAUUACCAUCACUGAUUCCCCCAAAAUCAACAUCCCGGGGGCUACCAUUGACCAGAAACUCAACUGGACUCACCACAUUAACAGAGUGAUUACAAGAGCAGGCCAGAAGCUGGGAAUCCUGCGUUGAGUAACUCACCCCCUGACUCCCCAAAGCCUGCCCACCAUCUACAAGGCACAAGUCAGGAGUGUGAUGGAAUACUCCCCACUUGCCUGGAUGGGGGCAGCCCCAACAACACUCAAGGAGCUUGACCCCAUCCAGGGCAAAGCAGCCACUUGAUUGGCACCACAUCCACAAGCACCCACUCCCUCCACCACCGACACUCAGUAGCAGCAGUGUGUACCAUCUACAAGGUGCACUGCAGAGACUCACCAAAGAUCCUCAGGCAGCACCUUCCAAACCCACAACCACUUCCAUCUAGAAGGACAAGGGCAUCACGUACAUGGGAACACCGUCCCCUGCAAGUUCCCCCCCAGGUCACACACCAUCCUGACUUGGAAAUAUAUCACCGUUCCUUCACUGUCACUUGGUCAAGAUCCUGGAAUUCCCUCCCCAAGGGCAUUGUGAGUCAAUCCACAGCAGGAGGACUGCAGUGGUUCAAGAAGGCAGCUCACCCCCACCUUCUCAAGGGGGACAACUAGGGAUGGGCAAGAAUUGCUGGGCCCAGCCAGCAACCCCUAUACCCUGGGGUGGAUAAAAGAAAAUUAAAGAUGUUGAAUAUAAUGCAGUUCACAGAAUAACACCUACAACAUUUCGAUAAAAAUAACAUCACAAUGUUACAUUGGGAUCAUUUAAAUUCCUUUUCUGGGUUUGAUGUUGAAGGAUUUUGAAGAUACCAGAUGUGUUUUUCCUAAAAAUUCAAUGCAAAGGCACAUUAGAAAUUUAUAAUCAAUCCAUUCCUUGAAUUCCAAAUGGUUCCGCAUAGUUGCUGGUCCUUGUUUCACUUCAGGGACAGCGGAUUUUCUGCUUGGGUUUUCACCCUGCUCUUUGUUGAACAAUGUAUUAUCGGCUGGGAGUUUGUGUCUGCUCAUUCACACAGGGGAGCCAGCUCACGUUCGUGUUUCUGAAACACCUUUGUUGUGAAGCAACGAAACCUCUUCUUUUGAAAAGCAUCUGGCAGAGUUCUCAAUCCUGUUCACUGAGCAAGCAGCAACUGACAAGAUCCCAGAGAGAACUACAUCUGUAUGGUGACACCGGCUAUGUAUGUGAGAACAGAUGGUCAACAGUCAUGGGAAUAAUGCACACCUUCUCCCAUUUCAUUCCAGAACAAGCGUGGGUUUUUCUUUUACCUGAAGUGAAUAUUUACAGAGAGAUUUGCGUUGUUCUCAUUUUUCUUAGUGUGUAAUUAUGUGUGUGUGUGCGUGGAAGUGCUUAUUAUUGGGAGUGGUUUGGGUUAUUUACAGGGGGAAACAACUGUAUAUUCAUAGAACAAAUGAAAUACUUAAGCCACUUUUGCAUUGACAUUCAGCAAGAUCUUCUGAAAAUAA